rnacentral:rRNA from 1 species
UACGAAGGGGGCUAGCGUUGCUCGGAAUCACUGGGCGUAAAGCGCACGUAGGCGGCUUUCUAAGUCAGGGGUGAAAUCCUGGAGCUCAACUCCAGAACUGCCUUUGAUACUGGAGAGCUUGAGUCCGGAAGAGGUGAGUGGAAUUCCUGGUGUAGCGGUGAAAUGCGCAGAUAUCAGGAAGAACACCCGUGGCUAAGGCGGCUCUCUAGUACGGUACUGACGCUGAGACGCGAAAGCGUGGGGAGCGAACAGG